GUUAUUUUGGCUGUGAAUUCUCCACUCUAGCUCAGUGAAAAGUUGCUUUAAAGCUGGACUAAGGUUUACGAAUCACGUUGAGCUAAUUUCGUGACAUGGGGGACUAGUUUGGGAGGUGGUUAAACUAAGGCGAGAUUGUGAUCGAGCCUUGGAUCAUCUUCGGCUGACUUGUGAGGACUCUUGGAGGUUGCAUUUGAGUAGGGUUGAGACCUAGUGGAGCUGAUUUUCG